rnacentral:rRNA from 1 species
UAUMGCCUGUUUUACAAAAACAUGUCUAUAUGUAGGUGUAUAUAGUUUAGCCUGCUCACUGAUAUUAAUUAAAGAGCCGCAGUAUUCUGACUGUGCGAAGGUAGCAUAAUAGAUUGUCUCUUAAUUGGAGGCUAGAAUGAAUGGCUGGACAAAGUAUCUUCUGUUUCCUUAAAUAAAUAUUGAAUUUGACUUUUAAGUGAAAAGGCUUAAAUGAACCAAAAAGACGAUAAGACCCUAUAAAUCUUUACAAGAGUUAUAUUUUAAGUUUUAAGUUAAAUGUUUAGCAGUGUUUAAAAUAUAUUUUUGUUGCGCUGGGGCGGUGUAGAUAUAUAAUAAAACUGUUUAUUAGUUAUACUCAAUUAUUGUUGUUUUAGAAAAUUGAUCCUUUUUAGAUUAAAAGAAUAAGAUACUUUAGGGAUAACAGCGUUAUUUUUUCUGAGAGUUCUUAUCGAAGAGAAAGUUUGCGACCUCGAUGUUGAAUUAAAGUUUCUUUGUGGUGCAGUAGCUACAAAAGAGAGUCUGUUCGACUUUUAAUGCUUUACAUGAUUUGAGUUCAGACCGGCGUGAGCCAGGUA